rnacentral:rRNA from 1 species
AUGCAGUCGACGGUGACACGGAGCUUGCUCUGUGGGAUCAGUGGCGAACGGGUGAGUAACACGUGAGCAACCUGCCCCUGACUCUGGGAUAAGCGCUGGAAACGGCGUCUAAUACUGGAUAUGUACCACGAUCGCAUGGUCUGUGGUUGGAAAGAUUUUUCGGUUGGGGAUGGGCUCGCGGCCUAUCAGCUUGUUGGUGAGGUAAUGGCUCACCAAGGCGUCGACGGGUAGCCGGCCUGAGAGGGUGACCGGCCACACUGGGACUGAGACACGGCCCAGACUCCUACGGGAGGCAGCAGUGGGGAAUAUUGCACAAUGGGCGCAAGCCUGAUGCAGCAACGCCGCGUGAGGGAUGACGGCCUUCGGGUUGUAAACCUCUUUUAGCAGGGAAGAAGCGAAAGUGACGGUACCUGCAGAAAAAGCGCCGGCUAACUACGUGCCAGCAGCCGCGGUAAUACGUAGGGCGCAAGCGUUAUCCGGAAUUAUUGGGCGUAAAGAGCUCGUAGGCGGUUUGUCGCGUCUGCUGUGAAAUCCCGAGGCUCAACCUCGGGCCUGCAGUGGGUACGGGCAGACUAGAGUGCGGUAGGGGAGAUUGGAAUUCCUGGUGUAGCGGUGGAAUGCGCAGAUAUCAGGAGGAACACCGAUGGCGAAGGCAGAUCUCUGGGCCGUAACUGACGCUGAGGAGCGAAAGGGUGGGGAGCAAACAGGCUUAGAUACCCUGGUAGUCCACCCCGUAAACGUUGGGAACUAGUUGUGGGGUCCAUUCCACGGAUUCCGUGACGCAGCUAACGCAUUAAGUUCCCCGCCUGGGGAGUACGGCCGCAAGGCUAAAACUCAAAGGAAUUGACGGGGACCCGCACAAGCGGCGGAGCAUGCGGAUUAAUUCGAUGCAACGCGAAGAACCUUACCAAGGCUUGACAUAUACGAGAACGGGCCAGAAAUGGUCAACUCUUUGGACACUCGUAAACAGGUGGUGCAUGGUUGUCGUCAGCUCGUGUCGUGAGAUGUUGGGUUAAGUCCCGCAACGAGCGCAACCCUCGUUCUAUGUUGCCAGCACGUAAUGGUGGGAACUCAUGGGAUACUGCCGGGGUCAACUCGGAGGAAGGUGGGGAUGACGUCAAAUCAUCAUGCCCCUUAUGUCUUGGGCUUCACGCAUGCUACAAUGGCCGGUACAAAGGGCUGCAAUACCGCGAGGUGGAGCGAAUCCCAAAAAGCCGGUCCCAGUUCGGAUUGAGGUCUGCAACUCGACCUCAUGAAGUCGGAGUCGCUAGUAAUCGCAGAUCAGCAACGCUGCGGUGAAUACGUUCCCGGGUCUUGUACACACCGCCCGUCAAGUCAUGAAAGUCGGUAACACCUGAAGCCGGUGGCCUAACCCUUGUGGAGGAGCCGUCGUACUGUGGAUUGAUGCGCUUUCAAC